ACGAACGCUGGCGGCACGCUUAACACAUGCAAGUCGAACGAGAGAAGAGGAGCUUGCUUUUCUGAUCUAGUGGCGGACGGGUGAGUAACACGUGAGCAAUCUGCCUUUCAGAGGGGGAUACCGAUUGGAAACGAUCGUUAAUACCGCAUAACAUAAUUGAACCGCAUGAUUUGAUUAUCAAAGAUUUAUCGCUGAAAGAUGAGCUCGCGUCUGAUUAGCUAGUUGGUAAGGUAACGGCUUACCAAGGCGACGAUCAGUAGCCGGACUGAGAGGUUGAUCGGCCACAUUGGGACUGAGACACGGCCCAGACUCCUACGGGAGGCAGCAGUGGGGAAUAUUGCACAAUGGAGGAAACUCUGAUGCAGCGAUGCCGCGUGAGGGAAGAAGGUUUUAGGAUUGUAAACCUCUGUCUUCAGGGACGAAAAAUGACGGUACCUGAGGAGGAAGCUCCGGCUAACUACGUGCCAGCAGCCGCGGUAAUACGUAGGGAGCGAGCGUUGUCCGGAAUUACUGGGUGUAAAGGGAGCGUAGGCGGGAUCGCAAGUCAGAUGUGAAAACUAUGGGCUUAACCCAUAAACUGCAUUUGAAACUGUGGUUCUUGAGUGAAGUAGAGGUAAGCGGAAUUCCUAGUGUAGCGGUGAAAUGCGUAGAUAUUAGGAGGAACAUCAGUGGCGAAGGCGGCUUACUGGGCUUUAACUGACGCUGAGGCUCGAAAGCGUGGGGAGCAAACAGGAUUAGAUACCCUGGUAGUCCACGCCGUAAACGAUGAUUACUAGGUGUGGGGGGACUGACCCCUUCCGUGCCGCAGCAAACGCAAUAAGUAAUCCACCUGGGGAGUACGACCGCAAGGUUGAAACUCAAAGGAAUUGACGGGGGCCCGCACAAGCAGUGGAGUAUGUGGAUUAAUUCGAAGCAACGCGAAGAACCUUACCAGGUCUUGACAUCGUAUGCAUAGCUCAGAGAUGAGUGAAAUCUCUUCGGAGACAUAUAGACAGGUGGUGCAUGGUUGUCGUCAGCUCGUGUCGUGAGAUGUUGGGUUAAGUCCCGCAACGAGCGCAACCCUUACUGUUAGUUGCUACGCAAGAGCACUCUAGCAGGACUGCCGUUGACAAAACGGAGGAAGGUGGGGGUGACGUCAAAUCAUCAUGCCCCUUAUGACCUGGGCCUCACACGUACUACAAUGGCUGUCAACAGAGGGAAGCAAAGCCGCGAGGUGGAGCAAACCCCUAAAAGCAGUCUUAGUUCGGAUUGUAGGCUGCAACCCGCCUACAUGAAGUCGGAAUUGCUAGUAAUCGCAGAUCAGCAUGCUGCGGUGAAUACGUUCCCGGGCCUUGUACACACCGCCCGUCACGCCAUGGGAGUCGGUAACACCCGAAGCCUGUAGUCUAACCGCAAGGAGGACGCAGUCGAAGGUGGGAUUGAUGACUGGGGUG
rnacentral:rRNA from 1 species